rnacentral:rRNA from 1 species
GACGAACGCUGGCGGCGUGCUUAACACAUGCAAGUCGAACGGAAAGGCCCUGCUUUUGUGGGGUGCUCGAGUGGCGAACGGGUGAGUAACACGUGAGUAACCUGCCCUUGACUUUGGGAUAACUUCAGGAAACUGGGGCUAAUACCGGAUAGGAGCUCCUGCUGCAUGGUGGGGGUUGGAAAGUUUCGGCGGUUGGGGAUGGACUCGCGGCUUAUCAGCUUGUUGGUGGGGUAGUGGCUUACCAAGGCUUUGACGGGUAGCCGGCCUGAGAGGGUGACCGGCCACAUUGGGACUGAGAUACGGCCCAGACUCCUACGGGAGGCAGCAGUGGGGAAUAUUGCACAAUGGGCGGAUGCCUGAUGCAGCAACGCCGCGUGCGGGAUGACGGCCUUCGGGUUGUAAACCGCUUUCGCCUGUGACGAAGCGUGAGUGACGGUAAUGGGUAAAGAAGCACCGGCUAACUACGUGCCAGCAGCCGCGGUGAUACGUAGGGUGCGAGCGUUGUCCGGAUUUAUUGGGCGUAAAGGGCUCGUAGGUGGUUGAUCGCGUCGGAAGUGUAAUCUUGGGGCUUAACCCUGAGCGUGCUUUCGAUACGGGUUGACUUGAGGAAGGUAGGGGAGAAUGGAAUUCCUGGUGGAGCGGUGGAAUGCGCAGAUAUCAGGAGGAACACCAGUGGCGAAGGCGGUCCUCUGGGCCUUUCCUGACGCUGAGGAGCGAAAGCGUGGGGAGCGAACAGGCUUAGAUACCCUGGUAGUCCACGCUGUAAACGGUGGGUACUAGGUGUGGGGUCCAUUCCACGGGUUCCGUGCCGUAGCUAACGCUUUAAGUACCCCGCCUGGGGAGUACGGCCGCAAGGCUAAAACUCAAAGGAAUUGACGGGGCCCCGCACAAGCGGCGGAGCAUGCGGAUUAAUUCGAUGCAACGCGUAGAACCUUACCUGGGUUUGACAUGGAUCGGGAGUGCUCAGAGAUGGGUGUGCCUCUUUUGGGGUCGGUUCACAGGUGGUGCAUGGCUGUCGUCAGCUCGUGUCGUGAGAUGUUGGGUUAAGUCCCGCAACGAGCGCAACCCUUGUUCACUGUUGCCAGCACGUUAUGGUGGGGACUCAGUGGAGACCGCCGGGGUCAACUCGGAGGAAGGUGGGGAUGACGUCAAGUCAUCAUGCCCCUUAUGUCCAGGGCUUCACGCAUGCUACAAUGGCUGGUACAGAGAGUGGCGAGCCUGUGAGGGUGAGCGAAUCUCGGAAAGCCGGUCUCAGUUCGGAUUGGGGUCUGCAACUCGACCUCAUGAAGUCGGAGUCGCUAGUAAUCGCAGAUCAGCAACGCUGCGGUGAAUACGUUCCCGGGGCU